rnacentral:rRNA from 1 species
GUCCACGCCGUAAACGAUGAGUGCUAGACGCUGGGGGCUUGGCUCUCGGUGUCGUCGCUAACGCAUUAAGCACUCCGCCUGGGGAGUACGGCCGCAAGGUUAAAACUCAAAGGAAUUGACGGGGGCCCCGCACAAGCGGUGGAGCAUGUGGUUCAAUUCGAAGCAACGCGCAGAACCUUACCAGCCCUUGACAUGGGGAGUAUGGGCCGCAGAGACGCGGUCCUUCAGUUCGGCUGGCUCCCACACAGGUGCUGCAUGGCUGUCGU